rnacentral:rRNA from 1 species
GCCAUACCACCCUGAACACGCCCGAUCUCGUCUGAUCGCAGAAGCUAAGCAUGGUCAGUCCUGGUUGGUACUUGGAUGGGAGGAAAAACAAGAUAAAUGCU